rnacentral:rRNA from 1 species
UACGUAGGUGGCAAGCGUUGUCCGAAGUUACUGGGCGUAAAGCGCGCGUAGGCGGUCAUUUAAGUCUGAGGUGAAAGGUUCAGCGCUCAACGUGAACAGUGCCUUGGAUACUGGGUGACUUGAGUUCGGGAGGGGGCAGUGGAAUUCCAGGUGUAGCGGUGAAAUGCGUAGAUAUCUGGAGGAACACCGAUGGCGAAGGCAGCUGCCUGGCCCAGAACUGACGCUGAGGUGCGAAAGCGUGGGGAGCGAACGGG